rnacentral:tRNA from 1 species
GGGGAGGUGCCAGAGUGGUUGAAUGGGGCCGCCUGCUAAGUGGUUGCUGGGUGAAAAACUCAGCCGCGGGUUCGAAUCCCGCCCUCCCCGCCU